UCUCUCUCUUUCCCCCUCUCUCUGUCUCUCUCUCUUUCCCCCUCUCUCUGUCUCUCUCUCUCCCUGUCUCUCUCCCCGCCCUGUCUCUUACCCCUUCUCUCCCGUCCUCCUCCUAGGGUCUCCGCUCCAUCCCCUCCUGCCCCGCUGACCUCUCCUCUGCUCACAGCCUCCUCCCUCCCCGCUCCGUCUCUCCCUCUCCCCUCCCGGCCCCCUGACUCUCCUAGCUCUCACCGCUGUGCUCUCCGCUGGCUUCUCUCCCUGCCGGCUCCCCCUCCCGCCCGGGCUGCUCCUGCCCCGUCCCCUUCACCGGUCUCUCGCGGCUCUGCAGCAGCUCUCCCCUGCCUGCCCCUCCGGUCCCUCUUCCCCUUCCCCGGGCUGCUCCUCCCCCUCCCCCUCCUCCCUCUCUCUCCUCCUCUCCCCCUUCCCCCACCUCUCCCCCUUCCCCCUCCCCGCCCCCCACGGCUCCCUCCCCACCUGGCUUCUCCUCUUUCUCUUACUCCCCUCUUCCCUCGGGGCCUCCCUCGGGGUCUCCGUUCCCCGUUUCCACGCCGCUGUCCCCUCUGAGCUGCCCCUCUCCUGCAUUUUCUCGCCAACUCUCCCUUCUCCUCCUGCCCUCCCGCCUCCAUCUCCCUUCUCCUUGCUCAGUCGCCUUCCUCACCUUCCUCUUUCCCUCUCUCCCCAGUGGCUCUUUCCUACCCCUCCCACCUUCCUGCCUCCUUCCUCUCUCCCCUCUCUGGAUCUGUCAUUUCUCUCUCCGUCUUGGGAGGCCCCUGCCCAGCGCCGCGUCCUCACCCCGCGGGCUCCUAGGGCUCCUCUCCCGCCCUUGGGACUCUCAGGUUGCCAAGUUCUGAGCUGAUGGCCAAGUCGCCACCCCAGGGAUCCCGGGGCAGGGCUGUCGAGCCGGAGUCCCCCCGAGCUGGAAGCACCUAUGUGACACCCAUUUUUUCUCUCUUUCCUGUCUGCCCCGGACUCUGCACGCUGCCUGGAGGGAUCGAAUCGGGCCCCCGCGCAGGGGAGCGAGAAACGGGCUCAGAGGCAGGAAGCAAGUUGCCUAAAGACGCACAGCACGCGGCGUGGAGCACACAGGCAGCUGGGAGGACUUCACCCACCGCCGACUCCACCGACGAGGCAACAGGCGCCAGGUGUGCCUGAAGACCGGCAUCCUCCAGGACGGAGACCUCAAGGGGGCCUAGACGGCGUUGCCAGAGGACCGACGGCGCCCCCCGCAGGGCCCUCCCCUCCGCCAAGACGGCCCACGCGGGGCAGCGAGAGGCCCCAGGAUCGAUCACCGGAGAGGCUCUCUCGGACUGCGGUCGUCCAUCGCCACCUACCGGCGGAAGACAAAACUGCAAUGCAGCUCUAAAAGACACUAGGAAAGGCGGCCCCAUAGGAGGACAGUGCCUGAGGGCGAGGCGGGGGCUGGAGCGGGCGGAGAGGAGAGGAUUUGCAAAAUUCUGUAAAAAUUAAAAACUUUUCUACGCCUAACCGAUAUAUAAACAUCAUACUCAGCAA